rnacentral:misc_RNA from 1 species
AUAGAUUAUCAACAUGUCAAGAAUUUUGCACAAAAUCGAGGAGAAGCUUCACAUACACCACAAGCAUGGAGAUGAUGAUAUUCCAGCAGCGCAAGAAAUCCCUGUGAUUAAGGAUGAAAGCAAUGUAGAUAAGAAAGAGGACGACGUUGUUGAUGAUCAUAAGAAAAGGCAUUUAGUGAAAAAAGUUGGAAAAAUUGCGAAAAAAUUGUUACAUGGUCAUAACAAAACAACG